rnacentral:lncRNA from 10 species
UAGGCACACAAUUAAACUUUGCAAAAGGACUGAAAGUUUGACACAUGAUUCUUUCUUCUCCAGGAGAAAGGGUUACUGAGAGAUCAUAUUCACAAAUCAACGUGCAAUAGUGAAAAAAGAUGGCAACACUGAAGAACCUUACUGAAUAACCCAGUAUGGACCACGUAUUGUAAUAGGCACUUAAUUUCUCUCAAUCCUUUCGAUAUCUCCUUGAAAUAGCGAAGGUCAUAUGAUAGCUGCUUAAUAAAAUUUGCUGAUCGAAUGAAGGAGCUAAUGAAUUCAAUAAAAUCAGGGAAGGCUUCUUGGAGGAGGAGCACCUUGCUCCAGUGGGCUGAGAAGACAUUCCAUGAGACCAGAGCAAGGAGAGGAGUGGCCUGGCAGCUGAAGCCAGAGACAGACUUGAACCUGGAGGUAUGAAAGCCUGUGUGGGGGAUCAGGUAGUCUGUACAAUCUUGGGGCUUGGUAGGUUUCAAGUGGAGGCCACACUGCGGGGAGAUUGUAGGGGUUGACAGGGAAUUCUGAUUAAGCUAUUUCAG